rnacentral:rRNA from 1 species
GAUGAACGCUGGCGGCGUGCCUAAUACAUGCAAGUCGAGCGAACAGACGAGGAGCUUGCUCCUCUGACGUUUGCGGCGGACGGGUGAGUAACACGUGGAUAACCUACCUAUAAGACUGGGAUAACUUCGGGAAACCGGAGCUAAUACCGGAUAAUAUAUUGAACCGCAUGGUUCAAUAGUGAAAGACGGUUUUGAUGUUACUUAUAGAUGGAUCCGCGCCGCAUUAGCUAGUUGGUAAGGUAACGGCUUACCAAGGCAACGAUGCGUAGCCGACCUGAGAGGGUGAUCGGCCACACUGGAACUGAGACACGGUCCAGACUCCUACGGGAGGCAGCAGUAGGGAAUCUUCCGCAAUGGGCGAAAGCCUGACGGAGCAACGCCGCGUGAGUGAUGAAGGUCUUCGGAUCGUAAAACUCUGUUAUUAGGGAAGAACAAAUGUGUAAGUAACUAUGCACGUCUUGACGGUACCUAAUCAGAAAGCCACGGCUAACUACGUG